UUUGGCAAAGGUGAUGGGGUUCCACCUACUUAACCGCCAUGUGGCUGAUGACUCCUACAGAAAA
rnacentral:ncRNA from 1 species